GUUUGCUUGGAGCACUGGAGGUGGUACAAGACUGAAGGUUGAUUGAGCUUGCAAACACAUACAUGUGCAAGACAAGUUGUGAAGUCAGAUUCGCACUGAGACCUCAUGGUAUUUUCUAAAUUUUAAGAGCUUUGUGACUACAGAAAUACCAGAUUGGAAUGUUCAAGUGGUUCACAUACAUUGUCUCAGCAAUCCUUACAACAACUUUGUAAGAUGACAGCAGGAUCUGAAGGAGCCUCUGGAGUGAAGCAGAAGUCCUGGCAGGCUUGUUUGGGAAACUAUGGCCCUCCAAAUGUUGUUGGACUACAAUUCCCAUCAGCCCCGGUCAGCACGGUAAAAGGUCAGGGAUGAUAGUUGGAGCUGAACAAUGUGGUCCCAGGGUAUGAUCUGAAGCCACCUUGCUGAAGCUAAGCAGAUCUGGAUCUGGUCAGUCCCUAGAAUGGGUGACCACUUGGGAACCACGUGUAUGAUGCCUUGGAUUCCAUCAUGGAAGAAUGGUGGGAUAUAAACAAGAUGGCGAACGAGUAAUACGCUAAGCCAGGAGCUCCGCUGACUGACUCCGCUGACCGGCAAAACACCGGAUAAAUGUUUGAUGGAGAAACAUACCUCGGCGUUUGUGGUGAUUUGCAGUCACAGGUGGGGCGGUUCGGGGGUUCCUCCUAUGUCGAUUGGGGUCGGAC